GAUGAACGCUGGCGGCGUGCCUAAUACAUGCAAGUCGAGCGAAGCGGGGACGGGUGAGUAACACGUGGAUAACCUCCUAUAAGACUGGGAUAACUUCGGGAACCCUGAGCUAAACCGGAAACUUAUAGAUGGCUCUGAGCUGCAUUAGCUAGUUGGUAAGGUAACGGCUUACCAAGGCCACGAUGCAUAGCCGCACUGGGAGGGUGAUCGGCCACACUGGAACUGAGACACGGUCCAGACUCCUACGGGAGGCAGCAGUGGGGAAUCUUCCGCAAUGGGCGAAAGCCUGACGGAGCAACGCCGCGUGUGUGAAGAAGGUCUUCGGAUCGUAAAACUCUGUUAUUAGGGAAGCGUUACCUACUCAGAAAGCCACGGCUAACUACGUGCCAGCAGCCGCGGUAAUAC
rnacentral:rRNA from 1 species